UUGCUGCCUGCUCCUGUUCUGGCUUCUGCCCCCUGGCCUGCAGCUCAGCUCCUGCUCCAUGACAGAUCAGAGAACUCACCCGACUUCACAGCACUACUGGGCAUGUGCCAUCAGGUGCAGGGGAGAGCAGGACCACCUCUUGCAGGAGCAGCUUGCAGUGAGAUCAGAUGAAGCUUCUCAUGAAAUCACAGCCAGCAAAGGAGAUUAGAGGAGACCAGUUCCUAAAAGAGCCAGAAUUACUCCACUGCACAGAAGGUUUGGAACAAGACAGCACUGCUCUGUUUGUUUAUCAACCCCCACACAAAAGACAGAACAAGUAGCCCAGUCCCAGAGUCACCAAGUGGACUUCACUUUUCAGGCAGAAUCCCAACCAGCUCUGACUUGCCUCUCUCCUCUUCUGCCUAACCAAGAGCAGUUUUCUAGUUAUUAUGCCAAAGAAGCAGAGGGACUCAGCAGCCACAUCUCACCACCUGCGGCACACUUUGCUCCUCAUGGGUAGCCAAAUUUCUUCACUCCACAGCUCCAGGGGGUCACUGCAUCCCCAAGCAGCUCCUGAUCUCAAGUUUGUGAAGGAUGGUCCUGAUGCCACAUGAGCCUACCGAGACACUACUUGCUCGGUCUCAGCAGCUCCUUCCCAUCACUUUAACAGUACUGUGUUUUGCCAGGGCCUGGGAGCUGCUGCUACCUGACCUCCUGAGGGACUGAAGUGCAGACCACCUGCAAGGCCACCUCUACCACAUCUCCCUAGCAAAAGGGAAGAGUUCCCCGAUGGGUCUGGGCACAGCUAACUGAACAGCUGUUCGCAAGAUAAGCUUUUCUUUAAGAACAACAACCACUAGGCAAGCAAUGUCCUCUCCACACUCCUCUCCCCCCUGCCCCAAUCAGUGUAUUGGUUAGAAGCACCUCCGGGGCUGUUUGCCUUAUUAACCUCUACCAGACCAUCUCACCGCAG